rnacentral:lncRNA from 1 species
UGGCUGUGGAAGGUAGAAUGGAAAUUACUACAACAAAAUCCUAAUUCUAAUUGAACACUAACAAUGCUAAACAAACUUUAUUCAAAUUCAGCAAAACUUCAAAAGAAUUACAAAGAAACAAUAAGAAAUCUUAAAGAAAUAUUAGAAUGAUUACAAAUAUAUCUCAAAUACAUCUCAAUUCAAUCUUAAUUUAAUCCUAGUUGAAAUCCUAUUAGAUUUUAUUCAAAAUUUAGGCAAAAAAUUAAUUAAAUCUUAAAUCCUAAAUAUACUCAAAUAAAAUCCUAAACCAAAUUCUAACCAAAUCCUAAACCAAAUCCUAACCAAAUCCUAAUCCUAAAUCAAAUCCUAAUCAAAUCCUAAUUCUAAAUUAAAUCCUAAUCAAAUCCUAAUCCUAAAUCAAAUCCUAAUCAAAUCCUAAUCCUAAAUUAAAUCCUAAUCAAAUUCUAAAUCCUAAAUCAAAUCCUAAUCAAAUCCUAAUCCUAAAUCAAAUCCUAACCAAAUCCUAAUCCUAAAUCAAAUCCUAACCAAACUCUAAACCCUGAACCAAAUCCUAUUAAUUUCUACAAUAGAUUUAAACCUCAAUAACUAAUAAAUAAACUAUUUAUCUUAACUCAAAAUUUUCACACUUCUUAAAAACUAAGUUGAAAACAAGCACAAAAAAUUUGAAAAGGAUCAAAAUUACCAAAUAGACGAUAACCUCAAAAACGUACUCGAGUAUUGGCCGGCCUACUUCUCCAACCUUGAUGCCAAUCUCCCAAAGCCAAUAUCUCUCCUUUUCACAAUUCAAUUGAUUUCACACUUUUUAUAUACAUAGAAAAACAAGUCUACUAUCUUCACCUAUAAAUUUCACUCCAAUCCAACUAAUGGUUUGCAAGAAAUCUUAAAAACCCUCAUUGGACCUAAAAUUCUACUUUCUAAGACCUUGACCUACUUAAACCUCAAUAACCUUCAAUUCAAUUAUUAGAUCAAGCUAAAAUUUAUAAUACAUAUUAAUUACAACUAUAACCAUUAACCUCCAAAAUUUUUCUUGUAGAUCUAUUACAAAAUUCUUGAAAUCAUCCAAAACGCCAACCCUAUUUUAUUUCACAAAAUCCAAGUCAUCCAAAAAAAAACUUGACUUUGUUAAGCUCUUAAAAAGUCAUUAUGAAUCCAAAUCACCUAAAGCUAAUGCUCAUAAAAACCUUAUUUAGUCUGCUAUCAAAUUCCACUCUCCAAUCUACAAAAGAACCCCGGAGUCGUCGUCGAGACUUGGUUUUGUGCCUCAAGGUCUGAUUUUGAUCCUAGUUCAUAACUAGCCCUCUUUGGAUAUCAAUAUCUAAUUUUUCUAAAUAAAUUUUGCUAGAAUUUACUCUUAACUUCUUUCUAAAGAUGCCUAUAUCAUUUAUUUUUCUAAUCUACUUUGUUUUGCCUUAUUUAUGGUCCUACAAAGUAAGUAGAAGUUAAUUUUAAAAAAAGCAGCAUUGGUACCUUUUUUGUUUUACUACCCUUUUGACUAUUAACUAUAUUUUUAAGAUAAUUUUUUCUAAUACUUUGAACUAAGAUCUCCUACAUUAUAAUAAUUUCAACACUCUUUCACCUAUUAUUCAUGUUACAUCAUGACAUCUACCUUUCCUAAAUGUGUGCAUCCUCUGACAUGUACCAAUGUUUCUUGAAUAUGUUGAUGUAGAAUGUUCUUCAUCUUGGUCUAAUUCUUGAUCUUCAAUAUGCUCUUCUAUUCCAAUCUCAAUAUCUUGUAUUGGAAUUUUUUCUUCAUCAAAACAAAUGUCUUCAACUCUUUGUUUAAAUAACUUGAUUCAUUUGCCUAGUAUGAGUACCUUCAAUUUUGUACCAUCAAGUUCUUGUAAUAAAUAUAUUCCAUUGUUGUAUGUCCUUUUGACAAUAUAAAGCCCAAACCAUCUCUUUGCAAACUUCUUUGUAGUGCUAUGUUGAUUGUCUAAGCUACUAUCAUAAAUUAAUAUCCAAUCACCAUCUUCAAUUGUCUUAGGUCAUAGUUGAUGUUGUCCUUGCUUCUUUCAAUUUUCUAUUGCUACUUCAAUAUCGUUAGGUCUUCUUUUUAGUUGUUGAAUCUGUAAUGCUAAAAGUUCUUCUCUGUUGAAAUCAUUCUUUCAAGGCAAUACAUUCCAUGUAGGUACUACAUGUUUUAUUAGCAUUACUAGUUUUUACCCAUAUAUUAAUUCAAAAGGCAUAUAAAUUAUUACUAAACUAUGAGUUGUACGAUCUAUCCAUAGUAUAAAUGAUAGUAGUCUAGGCCAUCCAUGUACUUUGCUAUUUCAUGCCUUUACUAAUGCCUUAACAAUAGGUGAAUAUCCAUGCUUACUUUUACUAUUACCUUUUGGAUUAUAUACUGUUGUUAAAAAAAGUUUAAUUCCUAUUCUACUAAAGAAUUCUUGUGCUUCCUUUGCAUCCAAUUCACUCCUAUCCGCCAUGAUUUUUUCAAUACAACAUAAUGACAAAUAACCUCUUCUAAUAGAAAUCAACAUACAUCUUUAAUAUCCUUUGUUCUUAAUACUCGUCUUUCAACUAUAUUUGAUAAAUCUUCUUAUGCAAGUACAAAAUACUUCAUUUGUCCAAGUUUCAUAGGCAUUGCUACUAAAUCCACCACCCACUUAUAAUAUAAAGUCAAAAGAUAUGCUGGAUGUAAUCCAUCUUGAUGUCGAAUAUUUGAAUAUACUUAAUAAAUGUUAUCCAAAUGCCUUGAUGCCUUGCCCAUAAAUUUUCAUGAAAUUCUUUAAUAAUCCUUUGUUGAGCUUCUAAACCACAUAUCAUCUUUUGUAGUACUUCUCCUCUCUUUUUGGAUGCUUCCAUAAAUAUCUAUCAUGUAAAAAAUAUCCAUAGGCUUUCUUAUGGAUUUUCUUAAAUUCUUGAUUUGUCUAAACUUUUUGUUGCUUUAAUAUGCUCAAAUACUCUCCAACAUCUUUCCAUUCAAUUUCAUAUAAAUCUCUUAAAAAUAUUUCCAAUGGUAUAUUCAAACAUACAUAUUUUUUUUUGAUAAUGCAUUAGUAUGAAAUUUUGUAUCCACAUCAUCUUCCAAAUCAAUCAUCUCUUCUUUAUCAUUAUACCUUAAUCUUGAUAACAUAUUUACAACCAAAUUUUCUUUCUCUGUAAUAUAUUUAAAUUUUAGAUUCAUAGAUUUGAUAUAUGCUAUCCACCUUAACAUAGAAAUAUCAUGAGUUGAACAACUUAUAAUCAUACCUAACAAAGAUAGACAAUCUCUUUCUAUAACUACUCAUACUCCAAUUAAUUAGUCUUUUUCAUUUUUCAUAGCUAUUACUACACUCCAUAAUUCUCUUUUGAUUUACACAUAUAUUCUUUGCUUGGAAUUCAAUAAAUUUCUUCCAAAUCUUACUAUAUAUCUAUUCCCUUAUUCAUCAUCUUGUCCAACUGCUCAACCUAUUCCAAUUGAACUUGCAUCAACUAUUAAUACUAAUGGCCUUCUACCUUCAUAAUUUACUUUCUUCAAAGUUAGAGAUGAAGAAAGAAUUUUUUUUAAUUUUUUCAUAGCUUUCCAUUGUUCUUCUUUCUAUUGAAAUUUUUGAUUCUUUCUUAAUAACUCAUACAAUGGAUCUAUUAUAUGUGCAAAGUGAGGUAUCCAUAUAUGAUAGAAAAUAUAUAUUCCUAAAAAUCUUCUCACUUCCAUUAUAUUUGUAUAUUCUUUUAUCUUUUUAAUAAUAUCAAUCUUUUCUAUACUUGGCUUGCGUCCAUAUGAACCACACAUGUAUCCUACCACCAAAACUUCUUUUAUUCCAAACAUUGAUUUUACCCCUAAUAAGGUUAAAUAAUCUUCUUCUAACCUUUUCAAUAUCUUUUCACAAUCUUUAAUAUAAUCUGCUACAAACUUCUUACAUCCUUUUGAAUCCAAAGUCUCAUCUUUACUUUUUUCUUCAAAUCCCUUAAUUGGUACAACAUCUAAGAAAGGCAUUGGUAUUCUUGGAAUAAAAUCUCUUAACACCUUAUGCAUUCCAUUUAUCAUAUGUGCUACAGAAUUUGUAGCCCCUUGUGGUAAUAUGCACAUUUUAACCAAUCCUAAUGAAGUCUUCAUAAUUGUCAAAUCCCUACUUUGUAUUACCAAUUGAAAUUGAUCAUAAUCUAAAUAAAGAUCACCCAUUGAGUAGAUAGCUCUUCCAGCAAAUGCUUCUGUAAAUUCAUCUAUAAUUGAACUUGAAUCCAUAUUUAUAAUAAUCACUUUAUUUACGGGUUGCAUGCCUUGUAUAAAUCUCAUUGUUCCAUUUUUCUUUGGCACUGUAAAUCAUCGAUUAGAAUAAGGUGUCAUAGAUGAUUCUAAAAUUUCUAUUUUAAUCUUUUCAUUGAAUAAAUCUAUGAAUUUAGAUAAAUGUGCUCUUGGUACUGGAAUUGGUCGCAAAUUCCAUGGUUCAUGAUGAAUAUUAAAAAUAACCAUGGGUGCUAUAAUACUUGGAUCAAUACACCCAAUUUCAUGCCCUUCAAAUGCAAAAGCCUUUCUAUGACGUGAAAGCAUAUCCCUAAAACAUUUUUCUUCAUAUUUUGUCAAAAAUCCAUCACAUCUAACAUUUAAUCCAUUCAAUGUAACAUCCGUAAAUUUAUGCCUUAUCUUCCUUAGAUCUCUUAAAUUUGGUUGUGUCGAUGCUCUACUUAUCUUUUCUUCACAAUUUGAUGGUAAUGGCAAAGCUAUUGGUUUGACCUUUCUUGCUACUGAUUUAUACUUAGUUUCAACACAUACCUCUUGGUGACUUAAAUUUUAUAUAAACCCUUAAAUUUUAUUAUAAUUUUUUUUAGAAUAUACAUUAAUAACUCUAUUUUCUACUUAUAAUUUAUAUUAUAAUAGAUAAUUUAAUUCCUCCAUAAUAUUUUCAAAACCUACUUCUUCAUAUGCUCUUAAAAUAAAUACAUUUUCAACCAAUUCUCCAUUUUCUUUUAAGUUUUGCUCAAUAUUUUUAAUAUAACAUCUGUCCAUCUUUUUCAUCUUGUGAAUAGUCUUAAAAGUCAAUAUACAAUCUUGUGUCAUUCCAAUAAGUCCGGUAGAUAAUAUUUCUUCUUCUAAAUUAAGUGGAAGCAUUUCUUUCUCUAAUCCAUUGCAAUCCCGCCUUACAAUGGUGUGUGGUAAAAUCCCUCAAGGUCUUCAAAUUUCUCAUUUGAUAAUGAAUUCUUUCUCAACUUAUCACAAUUUCUUUCAUGAUUAGCGCAAACAGUUAAAAAUUGAACUGCUUUCAUCCCAUCUUGGCUUCUUAUUCUUACAUAGGCUGAACUAUCAUCCAUUACUUUUGUUUCCAUUCAUGUAGCAAUAAUAUAUGGUUUUCCUAAUAUAAUAGGAUAUGCAGAUAUGUCUUACACAAAGAAAUUUUGUUCAUGAAUAAUAUCUCCUAUUGUCACCUUGAUAUUUAAACAUACUCCAUACAAAUCUGAUUUUGAAUUAUUUGCUAUUCUUAUCAUCCACCCAUGCUUAGUAUCAAUAGGCCAUUUUUUCUUAUUAUAGAAUUCUUUUACCAUCAAAUUGAUUUCAAAACCAUGAUCAAUCAAUGCUACAACUAGUUCUUCUAAAUUCUCUAAUUUUAUCAAAGUUUUUGUAGUAGCCCUUACCCAAUGACUCUAGAAUAAUGGCUAGAAGCUUAAAUGACAUCUUUUUUUUUUGUAAAUCUUACUUGCAAGACAUCUCCAAACUUUUUUAGUUCAUCUACUUCAUCUUCAUUGCUUUCCAUUGCUCUUGUUUCUUGUGCAUUUAAUGUCAUAGAGUCUCCUAUAGAUUUUCAUUUUUUCUUUAUUAUAUCAAUAAUAACUUCAUGAAACUGAGGCUUUGUAAUUCCUAGAAUUUCACCAAUUGAAAAUUCAACCUUUCUACUUAGAAUCUGCUCCUCCAAUAUCUUCUUCAAAUCUGUAGUAGCUUCAAUAUUUGUUUAUAAUUUAUAAGAAGGAGCCUAUGCUUUUUCUUUUUCAAUUUUCCUUUUUUUUAUAGGAAUAUUCUUUAUUACCUCUUUAUGUAUAAAUUUCUUUUGUUGUCGUGCUUUUUCUCCCUUUGUAAUUCUUUUUGAAGGCCCUUCAUUAUUUUCAUCUCUCCUUCAUUUUUCUUCUAUUAACGCUUCAUGUUGACUCCUUGUAAUAUGAACAUGCAUAGAUAAUCUAUUUACUGGAUCAUCCCACUUAGUAAUUUGUCGAAUGUUAUUACCAACAUGUUUUAAAUUAUCUCUAGUAAAUUUUUUCCUUUCAGCAUAAUUCAUUGCACUUGUCGACAAAGAACUAGAUUCUUCUAAAAACUCAAGAUUUAUACUUAAAUAUUUACUAGGAUUUGCUUCCACCUAAUAUAUUGAUGCUUCAUUGUUUGAGAUUGUAUGCACUUUAAAAGUAUCUCCAAAAAAUAACUUCAUUCUUCCUUUAUCAAAAUUUUAUUUUUAAUUUUUCUCCACUUUCUUUUAAGUGUAUCAUAUCAUCUUUAAAAAAAACAACUCCUUUACGUAAUGCCUAUGUAAAAUCUUCACAUUCCCUCUUUGAAUGAUCUAUGCUAUCACACCACAUGUACUUAUGUACUACACCCUCCAUUGGCCUUAGUCUUUGUUUUUGUUGAUACUCUUGAUGAUUGACCCUUCUCUUCAAGUUUUGCAAAUUUUAUUUACAAAUCUUUCAUUCAACGUAUGAUUUUAUUGAUGCUCAUUUCUUCUUUCUUUGAUGUAGCCAUUGAAGGUUGAAUCAAAGAUGUUGGAUGGGUACUAGACACCUUUACCUUAGAUGCUUAUAAUGGUCUUUGAAUACCCACCCUAUCUUUUUUUCUUUUUCUUUUUGCUAAUAAUCCUACUACCUACUCUAUUUCUUUCUAAUUUGUUGUUAAUCCUUCAUCUUCUUCUUUAUUUUCAAGUAAGAUUUCCAACUUCUCUUGUAACUCUCUAUCAGCUGCUUGAAGAAAGAGCUCCAUCUUACUUAGGUUCAACAAUUGUCUUUCUUUCUUUGAUAAAGAAUAAUAUUGCUUUUCAAACUUUUUUAAUAAUUUUGUUGCUAGAAGAUCCUUCUCUAGCCUUUCAAUCCAUUCAAAAAAAGACUUUUUUGUAACCAUGUCACUAUCUUCUAAGAAAAAUUCAUCCUUCAAUGCUUGAGAAAAUUUCUCCCAUAAACCUCCAAAAUGUCCUAUAAGAGACUUUACUUGGUUUUUUUAUCUCUUUUGUAGAGGCUAAUUCAAAUAAUUGAACCAUCUUUCUUUCUAAAACAUGCUUCAAUUCCAUUUCUUUAAUAUAACAUCUUAAAUAUUUUAUAAUAUAUUUUCCUUCAAAUUGAUUGAUCUUAUCCACAACCGCUCAUAAUGCUUUGAAAGCCUCAAACAUACUUGUAGAGUUAGGAUUAAAAUACAUAACUUAUCCUUCAAUUGAAGCUCCACUUCCAACUCCACUUGAAGCACUAUAAAAAAUUCCUCCUUCCAUCUUCUUGCUUUCUUUCUCCAAAAUUCAAAUAAUUCAAGAAAACCAAAUUCCUUCUACUUCAAGCAUUUUAUGUCGGAUUCACCAAAUAUAUUGUAAUAUGUGAAGUCUUGCUUAAAAAUGCUUUAGGUACCUAGCUAUGGAAGGUAGAUUAGAAAUUGCUAUAACAAAAUCAUAAUUCUAAUAAAAUACUAACAAUGCUAAACAAACUUUAAUCAAAUUCAGCAAAACUUCAAAAGAAUUACAAAGAAAUAAUAAGAAAUCUUAAUGAAAAAUUAGAGUGAUUACAAAUAUAUCUCAAAUACAUCUCAAUUCAAUCUUAAUUUAAUCCUAGUUGAAAUCCUAUUGGACUUCAUUCAAAAUUUAGGCCAAAAACUAACUAAAUCUUAAAUCCUAAAUAAAUUCAAAUAAAAUCUUAAAUCAAAUCCUAACCAAAUUCUAACCCUAAAUCAAAUCCUAAUCAAAUCCUAAAUCCUAAAUCAAAUCCUAAUCAAACCUUAAAUCCUAAACCGAAUCCUAAAUUCUAAAUCAAAUCCUAAUAAAAUCCUAAAUUCUAAAUCAAAUUCUAACCAAAUCCUAAAUUCUAAACCAAAUCCUAAAUCCUAAAUCAAACCCUAACCAAAUUCUAAUCCUAAAUCAAAUCCUAACCAAAUUCUAACCCUAAAUCAAAUCCUAACCAAACUCUAAACUGUGAAUCAAAUCCAAUUAAUUUCUACAAUAGAUUUAAACCUCAAUAACUAAUAAAUAA